rfam:Triticum aestivum genome assembly, contig: Triticum_aestivum_CS42_TGACv1_scaffold_093623_2AL
AAAGUACUCCCUCCGUCCCAAAAUUUUUGUCUUAGAUUUGUCUAGAUACGGAUGUAUCAAGUCACAUUUUAGUAUUAGAUACAUCCGUAUCUAGACAAAUCUAAGACAAGAAAUUUGGGACAGAGGGAGUAGUUG